CUUAAAUAUUAAAACCAACGAACCAACAUUAUGAGGUUAAUUAUAACUAGACCUAAUAAACUAAAACAUUCUACCACCUUAGUAUGAGAGACAGAAAAGGAAUAUAUAAAGCAAUAGACUUAGUACCGCAAGGGAAAGCUGAAAGAGAAAUGAAACAAAUAAUAUAAGCCCAAAAAAGCAGAGAUUCAAUCUCGUACCUUUUGCAUCAUGAUUUAGCUAGUCAUAUUGAGCAAAGUGAACUUUAGUUCAACACCCCGAAACUGAGUGAGCUACCCCAAGACAGCCUAAUUAAGGGGCCAACUCGUCUCUGUAGCAAAAGAGUGAGAAGAUCUUUGGGUAGGGGUGACAGACCUAUCGAACUCAGUUAUAGCUGGUUGCCUAAGAAAUGGAUAUAAGUUCAGCCUCGUAUUCCCCAACUCAACAAACCAACUUUUAAAUAUAUGAAUAAGGGAAAUAUACGAGAGUUAUUCAAAGGGGGUACAGCCCCUUUGAAAAAGGAAACAACCUCAUCAGGAGGUUAAAGAUUAUAUUAACUAAGAUUACCGCUAUAGUGGGCCUAAGAGCAGCCAUCUGUGAAGAAAGCGUUAAAGCUCAAGCAGACAAUAAUCUAUUAUUCUUAUAUACUAUCUAAAACCCCUAAUCCUACUAGGCCUUUCUAUGCUAACAUAGAAAUGACACUGCUAAAAUGAGUAAUAAGAAGGCAACACCUUCUCCCUAGCCCAAGUGUAAGCUAGAUCGGACUACCCACUAGCCAAUUAACGAACUCAAAACAAGAGAGCAGCAUGACUUAAACAAAAUACAAGAAAACCUCAAAAAUAAAACAAUCGUUAACCCUACACUGGAGAGCUACAAGGAAAGACUAAAAGAAAAGGAAGGAACUCGGCAAACACGAGCCUCGCCUGUUUACCAAAAACAUCGCCUCCCGCAAAUCUCAACAUAUAGGAGGUCCCACCUGCCCAGUGACAAAUGUUAAACGGCCGCGGUAUUUUGACCGUGCAAAGGUAGCGCAAUCACUUGUCUUUUAAUUGAAGACCUGUAUGAAUGGUUAAACGAGGGCUUAACUGUCUCCCCUUUCCAGUCAAUGAAAUUGAUCUACCCGUGCAGAAGCGGGUAUUAAUAUACAAGACGAGAAGACCCUUUGGAGCUUAAGACAAUAUAUCACCUAUGUCAAGCAUAAAAAAAUGAAACUAAAUAAUAUCUGAUUACAGUCUUCGGUUGGGGCGACCGCGGAAUAAAAUAAAACUCCCACAAGGAUUGAAGAGACCCUUCAAAACCAAGAAAGACAUUUCUAAGUCACAGAAAUUCUGACCAUAAAGAUCCGGUCAUACCGAUCAACGAACCAAGUUACCCUAGGGAUAACAGCGCAAUCCUCUUUCAGAGUUCUUAUCGACAAGGGGGUUUACGACCUCGAUGUUGGAUCAGGACAUCCUAAUGGUGCAGCCGCUAUUAAGGGUUCGUUUGUUCAACGAUUAAAGUCCUACGUGAUCUGAGUUCAGACCGGAGCAAUCCAGGUCAGUUUCUAUCUGUAAAGAUAUUUUUUCUAGUACGAAAGGACCGAAAAAAUUGGGCCUACACUCACAGUGCGCCCACCUCUAACUUAAUGAAAACAACUAAAUUAAAUAAAAGAGGACAUAACAACAAAUUAAGAUAAAGUU
rnacentral:rRNA from 1 species